GGUAGGCAAGGCUGCCGAGGGUGCCACACUGAUGCUGUGCAGAGCAUUUCAGCUGGAUUGAUCACAGGGCACAGGGCAGUCUGGAAUCCAGCCAGAGGAAGGCAAAGAAAUACCUGGCAGACCUAAGCAACUGUGACACAUAAGACUCGAGAAUCGAUGGAUGUGACUUCAGCGACAAGCUGUUGCCCCCUUGGCUGUCAUGAGCCAACCAUGGCUCUGCAAUUCAUGGUAACAAGCCAUUCUGCAAUGGAAGGAAGGAGGAAUAAUCUCACCUUACCUACUUCCCACUCCCUCCUAUUCUGAAGUCUUGAACUCGAGAAUAGACCACAGAGACCAAGAGAAAUGUGCUAUGUGGGCUGCCCACCAGGCUCCUCUGUUCAGGCGGAUUCUCCAGGCAAGAAUAUUGGAGUGGAUUGCCAUGCUCUCCUCCAGAGGAUCUUCCCGACCCAGGGAUUGAACCCGUGUCUCUUACAUCUCCUGCACUGGCAGUCAUCAGACCACAAAAACUUCAUUUGGACCUAUUGAAGAGGACUGUUCAUCAUCUCCCAGAGUUCUGAAAAUUUGAUCUGAUGCAGAAAUGGAUGACACUUUGGACUGUCUUCCAUGGGACACAAGAAGAUGAUAAGAAACGUGAACAUGGAUAUUUAGGGGACCAGAGUGGCAGCCUGCUAACCAUCCCCCAAAAUCUGCCCUGACAUAAGUUCAUGGCCAUCCAGUUAAAAAUUACAUUUUCCAGAACCCAGUGGAAUGUGAAGAGA
ensembl:lncRNA